UACGGAGGGUGCAAGCGUUGUCCGGAUUUAUUGGGUUUAAAGGGUGCGUAGGCGGAAAUUUAAGUCAGUGGUGAAAUCCUGCAGCUCAACUGUAGAACUGCCAUUGAUACUGAAUUUCUUGAGUUCGUCUGAGGUGGUUGGAAUGAGUGGUGUAGCGGUGAAAUGCAUAGAGAUCACUCAGAACACCAAUUGCGAAGGCAGAUCACUAAGACGACACUGACGCUGAGGUACGAAAGCGUGGGGAGCGAACAGG
rnacentral:rRNA from 1 species